rnacentral:rRNA from 1 species
CACUUGGUGGAUGGCUUGGCUCCAGCACCGAAGAAGGACGUGGCAAGCUGCGAUAAGCCUGGGUUAGCCGCAUGCAGGCUUCGACCCCAGGAUCUCCGAAUGGGAAUCCUUGCCCGUUAAGGGCAAUUCCGAAAGGAAGGGGAACGCCGGGAAGUGAAACAUCUUAGUACCGGCAGGAAAAGAAAUCAAUUGAGAUGCCGUUAGUAAGGGCGACUGAAAGCGGCACAGACCAAACCGAACGGCUGUCGAAAGACAGUACGGAUGUGGAGUUGUAGGACCUGGGUACUUCUUCGCUUUCCGACCCGAAGUGAGCUGGAAAGCUCCGCCAAAGAGAGUGAUAGCCUCGUAGGGGAAGGAAAGAAAGAAGAUUCCCAGGUAUCCUGAGUACUGCUCCUUGGAUAUGGAGUAGGAAGCUGCGGGGCAUUAACCUGCAAGUCUAAAUAUGUCUGGAGUCCGAUAGCGCACUAGUAUCGUGAGAGAAAGCUGAAAAGUACCGCGAAAGCGGGGUGAAAAGAGCCUGAAACCAAGUGGUGAAAGUCAGAUAUGGCCCGAAAGGUUUUGUUCCGAAGGAAAGCCUCGCAAGGGGCGAGUACGAGGAACAAAUUACAGGGUCAUAUCGUCCGUUUUGAAAAACGGGGCAGGGAGUGUAUCUCAGUGGCGAGGAUAAGUGGUUCAAACCACGGAUCCGUAGCGAAAGCGAUAAGCACGUAGCCCGAAAAGGGUGUGGUGCACUGUACGAAAGUGCAGGUAGUCACUGGGAUACGACCAGAAGCCAGUCGAGCUAACCCCGGACAGGGUGAAGCCUCUCGAAAGAGGGGUGGAGGCCCGCUACCGGUGUUGAGAUGCCAAUCACUCGGGUGAUCCGGGGUUAGGGGUGAAAAGCCUAUCGAGACUGGGGAUAGCUGGUUCCUCCCGAAAUGCAUCUCAGUGCAGCCUGGCCUGAGGAAAAUGACCUGGUAGAGUUACUGAUUGGACGGUCAAGGUGCGAAAGCAUCAGCCGUCCUGUCAAACUCCGAACAGGUCAUUUCCGUAGAAGGCCGGAGUGAGGGUGCCGGGGUAAGCUCGGCAUCCGAGAGGGGAACAACCCAGACCAAGGUUAAGGUCCCUAAAUGCUAGCUAAACGAGGAAGGGAGUCCAAAUCCUUAGACAGCAGGGCUGUAGGCUUAGAAGCAGCCAUCAGAUAAUAAGUGCGUAACAGCUUACCUGCCGAGGAUUUGGGCCCCGAAAAUGGAAGGGACUAAGCUAGCUACCGAGACCUUGGAGCUCGAAAGAGCUGGUAGGGAGGCGUUCUGCGUGGGCAGAAGCCUCUGCGCGAGCAGGGGUGGACCGCGCAGAAAUGAAGAUCCUGCCAUGAGUAGCAGCAUAGCUAGGUGAGAAUCCUAGCCACCUGAAGGAUAAGGGUUUGCCAGCAAUGUUCGUCAGCUGGCGGUUAGUCGGUCCUAAGGGCUUGCUUAACCGACAAGCCCGAAAAGGGAAAUGGUUUAAUAUUACCAUACCAUGAGGGUACGUGCGGCAACGCAAGCCAAGUUUCCGACGCUUUUGGAUAGGCCGACGCAAGUUAACCGUGUAAGCCUGCGGAGUCUCGUAAUGAGGAGAAGCAGGUGAAAACGGGAAUAGCUCUGCGUAUGCAGAGUUCGGCUGAUUCCAAGAGCCAGUGAAAAGGAAACUUGGAAGGAUCCCUCAUGACCGUACCGAGAACCGGAACAGGUAUCCUCGCUGAGAAGGCGAAGGUGUGUUAGGACAACCCAGCCCAGGGAAAUCGGCAAAUUGGCUGCGUAUCUUCGGUAGAAGCAGUGCCUGUGAUCCUGAAACAGGAGUUCUGCUUAGCAGAGCGACUGUGGAGGGAUCGCAGGUCGCAGUGACAAGGAGGGGGCGACUGUUUAACAAAAACGCUGGAGACUGCUAGUCGGAAACGAUGUGUACAGUCUCUGAUGCCUGCCCAGCACCGGUGUGUGAAGCCCUGGUUCAACAGGGUGAAGCCCCGGUUAGCGGCGGCGGUAACCCUGACCGUCGUAACCAAGGCGGUCAUAUGAUUUCAUGAUGCGCCGCCUGGGCGGCAUAAGUAGCGUAAUCCCUUGCCGUUUAAAUGACGGCCCGUUGAACGGCUUAACGACCUCCUCGCUGUCCCGGGCUGGGACCUAGCGAAAUUGCCUUUCCGGUGAAUAGGCCGGAGACCUCCAGUGGGAAACGUAGACCCCGUAGAGCUUUACUGCAGUCUGAUGCUGUGGUGUGGUUACAAUUACAUAGAGUAGCUAGGACUCGUUGAGGCUUGGCCUCCGGGCCAAAGCUGAGAGGAAAGUGUAACACUAGCUUUUUGUAACUGCACCGCUAACCCGAAGAGGGGACACCAUCAGAUGGGCAGUUCGGCUGGGGCGGUACGCCCUUGAAAAGAUAUCAAGGGCGCCCUAAGCUCAGCUCAUCCGGGUCAUGAUAGAAGUUGGCAAUGAUUUGAUCGCUCCGGAAUGACUACAUGAUUUCAGAGGUAGCUGAUGAGCACCAACUUCUAUCACCCGAAAGAAAUCCGGAGUAGAGUGUAAGCGCAAAAGCUGGGCUGACUGGAUCUCGCAAAGCGAGAGAUCCAGGUGCGAAAGCAGGGGCUAGCGAUACAUCGGCUGGUCUUAAUGGCCGCCGGUGGUAUCAGAAAAGCUACCUCGGGGAUAAUGGGCCCGUGGCCGGUGAAAGUCCACAGCUGGGGUCUACUUUCCUAGCGGAUAGAUUGACCCGGCGCGUUGGUGCGUCGUUGUUGGCUCCCCCCCUCCUGGCCGUGCAGCAGCGGCCAAGGGUACAGGUGCCCACUGGUUAAAGGGGGACGUUAGCUGAGUUCAGAACGUCGUGAGACAGUUCGGUCGCUAUCUACUGGAGGUGCUGGCUGUCUGACCGGAAGGAAGCAUUAGUACGAAAGGAACGUGCUUCCGUGGCCUCUGGUGUACCGGUUGUGCUUUUGCACCGCCGGGUAGCUACGCCAUAGCAGAUAACCCCUGAAGGCAUCUAAGGGGGAAACUGCCCGGAAAAAUAGAC